UACGGAGGGUGCAAGCGUUAUCCGGAUUUACUGGGUUUAAAGGGUGCGUAGGUGGGCAAGUAAGUCAGUGGUGAAAUCUCCGGGCUUAACCCGGAAACUGCCAUUGAUACUAUUUGUCUUGAAUACUGUGGAGGUCAGCGGAAUAUGUCAUGUAGCGGUGAAAUGCGUAGAUAUCGAGAGGAACACCUGCGGCGAAGGCGGGUUGAUGGGCUGACACUGACGCUGAUGCGCGAAAGCUAGGGGAGCGAACGGG
rnacentral:rRNA from 1 species